rnacentral:tRNA from 1 species
GCCGUUAGCUCAGUUGGUAGAGCAUCUGACUUUUAAUCAGAGGGUCGCUGGUUCGAACCC